rnacentral:rRNA from 1 species
UACGGGGGGGGCAAGCGUUGUUCGGAAUUACUGGGCGUAAAGGGCUCGUAGGCGGCCAACUAAGUCGGAUGUGAAAUCCCCAGGCUCAACCUGGGAACUGCAUCCGAUACUGGAUGGCUUGAAUCCGGGAGAGGGAUGCAGAAUUCCAGGUGUAGCGGUGAAAUGCGUAGAUAUCUGGAGGAAUACCGGUGGCGAAGGCGGCAUCCUGGACCGGCAUUGACGCUGAGGAGCGAAAGCUAGGGGAGCGAACGGG